rnacentral:rRNA from 1 species
AAAACUUUCAACAACGGAUCUCUUGGUUCUGGCAUCGAUGAAGAAUGCAGCGAAAUGCGAUAAGUAAUGUGAAUUGCAGAAUUCAGUGAAUCAUCGAAUCUUUGAACGCACAUUGCGCCCCUUGGUAUUCCGAGGGGCAUGCCUGUUCGAGCGUCAUUAC